AGAGUUUGAUCCUGGCUCAGGACGAACGCUGGCGGUGUGCUUCACACAUGCAAGUCGAACGAGGUAGCAAUACCUAGUGGCGGACGGGUGAGUAACGCGUGGGAAUCUGCCUUUAGAUGGGGGAUAACGGGUCGAAAGACUCGCUAAUACCGCAUAUGACGAAAGUUGAAAGGAGUAAUCCGUCUAAAGAUGAGCCCGCGUCCGAUUAGCUAGUUGGUAGAGUAAAAGCCUACCAAGGCGACGAUCGGUAGCUGGUCUGAGAGGAUGAUCAGCCACAAUGGGACUGAGACACGGCCCAUACUCCUACGGGAGGCAGCAGUGGGGAAUUUUACGCAAUGGGCGAAAGCCUGACGUAGCGACACCGCGUGAGCGAAGAAGCCCCUUGGGGUGUAAAGCUCUGUCAGCUGGAACGAAAAAAAUGACGGUACCAGCAGAGGAAGCAUCGGCUAACUACGUGCCAGCAGCCGCGGUAAGACGUAGGAUGCAAGCGUUGUCCGGAUUUAUUGGGCGUAAAGAGUUCGUAGGUGGUUUGUUAAGUUUGGUGUUAAAGAUUGGGGCUCAACCCUGAAACUGCACUGAAUACUGGCAGACUCGAGUGUGGUAGAGGCUAGUGGAAUUCCCAGUGUAGCGGUGAAAUGCGUAGAUAUUGGGAAGAACACCGGUGGCGUAGGCGACUAGCUGGGCCAUAACUGACACCGAGGAACGAAAGCCAAGGGAGCGAAUGGGAUUAGAUACCCCAGUAGUCCUGGCCGUAAACGAUGGAUACUAGGCGUAUCGGGUAUCGACCCCUGAUGUGCCGCAGCUAACGCGAUAAGUAUCCCGCCUGAGUAGUACGGCCGCAAGGUUGAAACUCAAAGGAAUUGACGG
rnacentral:rRNA from 1 species